CAUAGCGACUAUCGUGGCAUAUCAAUAAGCGGAGGAAAAGAAACUAACAAGGAUUCCCCUAGUAACGGCGAGUGAAGCGGGAAGAGCUCAAAUUUGAAAUCUUCAAGGUUUGACCUUGACGAAUUGUAGUUUAAAGAAGUGUUUUCUGUUGAAGUUUUGGUAAAAGUUCUUUGGAAUAGGACACCAUAGAGGGUGAGAAUCCCGUAUUUGACCAUUAUUUUCAGCUGUGUGAUACACUUUCAAAGAGUCGGAUUGCUUGGGAAUGCAGUCCAAAGAUGGGUGGUAAAUUUCAUCUAAAGCUAAAUAUUGGCGAGAGACCGAUAGCGAACAAGUACCGUGAGGGAAAGAUGAAAAGAACUUUGAAAAGAGAGUUAAACAGUACGUGAAAUUGUCAAAAGGGAAGCGUUUGACACCAGUGUUGUUUAGUUGAAAAUCAAUUAAAUAUUUUUCGAUUUUAAGUAGUAUUGACCUUAUCAGCUUGCCGCUUUUUUCUCGGAAAUUAUUUAAUGCACUUUUCAGUUAACAAGUCAACAUCAAUUUCUUUUGUUGUAAAAAGGUAAGAGGAAGGUGGCUUGCGCUUCGGCUCAAGUGUUUAUAGCCUUUUACCCCUGCAAUCGGAGAGAUUGAGGUCUGCAGCGUAGAUCCUUCGGGGUUAGAUACAUUUGUGCUAAGCUAUAGCCUUGUAUAGACAACUUGUUGACUAUGCUCAGUCAUGUAGCUUACUCGCUUAUGCUAUUUUACCUACGCUUAGGAUGUUGAUAGUCACAGCGUGUAC
rnacentral:rRNA from 1 species